CUACAUCCAAGGCUGCAAGCGUAGAAAACAGAGACGGCGGGUUGAGAGCCGAGAAGCCGAGUCUCCGAGAGGAGAGAGGCACACUGCCUGGGACCAAUCGCGCCGUGUUAUCUGAUGCCUGCGCAUGUGCGUGUGUCUUGUCUGUCUGGAUCUUGGUUUUUUUCUGGAUCACCAAGGUCUUACAGUGGGAAGUGGGGGCCCGGAACCAAAGCCCAGUUGACCGCUGUUAUCAGUGCCACCCACAUAUUCCAGCGCGAUGGGGACGCUACCUGGAGCCUUUCUGCAGAGCUGCGAUGGCGAUCAGUCUGCACGCAGCCCGAGCGCCGAACUGCAAGAACGCCGCCUGGAAAGACGUCAAAGUGGGACGGGAACCGGCUGGAUAGCAAUCUAUCACAGAUCAGCGGCAAUGAGACGACGGCGCGACGCACCGCGUGCCCUCCAGCGCGGUCUUGUUGAAGGCUGAGCCCUUAAGGAAGAGACCCAGGUGGCAAUCCAGUCAAGGACCAGGGUGGAUCUUCUCACGAGCAGGACCCUCCAAUCACGGAGAGAGCUUCUGCCGGGCCACCUAAUCUCACGCGGGGCUGGAGUGACCUUCUGACGGCCAAGGCUGUGGGCAGGGGGGAACCGACAGCUGGAUGUCUGCCUCCUCCGCAAGUCCUCACUUCACGCAGUAGACGGGUUACCAACAGCUGGAUAAAUGGACUUGAAGGGAUGGAUUUCACAGAAGGCUUUACUGGACUAUUGGAUCUAGAUCUAUUACAGUUACGCUGCGAGUGGUCAUUUACAGAGCAAAUUAUUCUACACAUCUGUUUAGAAUGAAUGUGAUUAAACAUAAAUAUGCCACUUUUUAAUAAUUUCAUUUUAGAUUCAGCACAGAGCCAAAAGAACAAAUACUUUUUAGAAGUCAGGUGACCACAUUUCUUCCAUUUGCCUCAUCCCUCUGGCUUCAAAUCACAAAAAUGAAAACUUUGUUAAAGACAAACCUAUUUCACUUUGGACAAGAUGAACAAAAACAUACAGAAAGCUGUUUAUAUCUGACCAGGCUUCUGCAACAGCCCCCAGGGUUGUGGCAGCUUCCAAACGCUUCCAAUGUCAAAACUAAUAAAGCGUUAUUUCCUAUAAAAGGCCAUGUGAUUGAUCUUAUCAAACCAAAAUUGUAGUUUUGUAUGAAUAUCGGUCUCUGUCUAUUUAUGAUGCACAUUGACACAAGUACAAAUGUAGCUGCUGUAGAAGAAGCACAACCUGAUCUGGCAGGACGCACUAGUCAGACUUAGAGCUGAAUAAAUGUAUGGAAAAUUGACAUUGACACAUUUGUGUCUUUGCAAUAGGAAUUGCAUGGCUGCAAAUGUAUUUGGGGCCCCUUCCUGCAUAGGUAACUGUAUGUUUGUUAUAUGUUUGGUAACUUUUUAUUCUGUGUGAGAAACAGUCCAUUCCUAAUAACUGUGACUGCUUGUAUUCAUGCAAAUACAAAAAGAUAUCAACUAGAUCACACAGCUUGUCUGAAGGCCAAUUAAAAGUAAAAAAUAGUUCAAAUGUUGUAUCACAUAAGGCCUUAUUGCAAUGAUGUGUUUUGUUCCAUUGCAUUGUCAAUGAUGAAAAUAAAAUGUAAAGAUUGUAA